rnacentral:lncRNA from 1 species
AUGUUCCAAUCUCUGGUCUUCAAGAUUUCUUCACCUAUUAAGAAAACACAAAAACCUUUCCCCGUCUUUAUUACCUGUACAGCAAAAAACAUACCAGUGCGUAUAAAUCCACAGAUGUGCAUACGCAUACACACAUCUGUGUUUAUACACACACAAGGAGGGAAUGAGAGAAAGUUAGCAAGAGCGACAGUGAAACUCAGAAUUUUUGCCUUUUUGACACAGAGAGCGUGUAAAAAUUCUCUCAUUUUGAGGGAACUAGAAAAAAAUGGAGGCUCUACAAAAGAUUUUGAUGAGUAUGCCUUCGAGGCCAAUGCUUUGUAACAUGAGUGAUCUGGGGGCCAGCACACAAAUAUGCAGACGUAUGUACAUGCAUACAGGAUAAACAUAUCUAUACACACAAGCGUGCACAGUAUAUGUUGUAUUAUCUCCAUAUCGAGAACAACUCGUAGCCCUGAUCAGACACGUAGAGUUGCAAUCGAUUAACAGCAGGAAGACAGCAGAUCAAGGGUACAGCAAGCUUUGAGAGGCAGGGGAAUGCUCACUUUGCCAGUGGCAUGGCUGCAUGAUACCAAGGAUUUUGAAUUAGUUGGAUUUUUUGGAAGCAAUUUGGUUUUUCUUUCUGCGCUGUAGCAAAUACCACAGGUUUGCCAUCACGUGCUGUUCCCUAAUCCAUAUAUCCAUCAUCAUCCACUGCUGCAGGAUCAUGAAAGGUUAGAGAAGACGACUUAGGUCCAAUUUAACAGCCAAUGAUUUUUUGAUGAACAGAGCUGCAACAGAUUUUAUUUAGCCACAAGCAUUUUUUUUUCUUUUUUCUGAUAUGAAGUCAGAAAUUUUGAUUUUUUUUUUUAAAGACACUAAAUGUCACAAAACCUGCAACCAGACCAGAUAAAGUUCAAAUUAAAGUGAUUCUGAAUCCUUUCAUUAAAACGCUGCACAUUUCUGUGCAAAUUAUUUCUGACUCUUCUGGACAAAAGUGGAUGAAAAUAGUUCUUACAAAUUAAUAACAAAAGGUUGGAACCUUUUACUCACACAAACACUAGUGAAUUUUCCAGGAAAUACUUUUUUGGCAGGGAAUUUUCCCAAAUCUAAAAUAAAGAGAGGAAAAGUUGGGUUCUCA